rnacentral:rRNA from 1 species
UACGGAGGAUGCAAGCGUUAUCCGGAAUGAUUGGCGUAAAGCGUCCGCAGGUGGCUGUGUAAGUCUGCUGUCAAAGAGCAAAGCUCAACUUUGUAAAGGCAAUGGAAACUACACGGCUAGAGUGCGUUCGGGGCAGAGGGAAUUCCUGGUGUAGCGGUGAAAUGCGUAGAUAUCAGGAGGAAUACCGGUGGCGAAAGCGACUCUCUGGACGGCAACUGGACGCUGAGGCACGAAAGCCGUGGGGAGCAAACAGG